GCCAGUGUGGCCUAGUGGUUUGAGUGUUGGACUACAACACAAGAGUCAAGGGUUUGAUUCCCAGCUCAGCCA